rnacentral:rRNA from 1 species
UACAGAGGUGUCAAACGUUGUCCGGAAUUACUGGGCGUAAAGGGCGCGUAGGCGGUCCUAUAAGUCAGAUGUGAAAGCUCCGGGCUCAACCCGGGAAUUGCAUCUGAUACUGUAGGACUUGAGUUCGGUAGAGGAGGGCGGAAUUCCAGGUGUAGCGGUGAAAUGCGUAGAUAUCUGGAGGAACACCCGUGGCGAAGGCGGCUCUCUGGUCCGAAACUGACGCUGAGGUGCGAAAGCUAGGGUAGCAAAC